AUUUAAUAAUCUAAUAGUUAAAAGCUAUAAAAUUCUUAUCGCGGACAAAUUCUGGACAAACUUGAGUGACUCAUGCGAGCAAGAACUUUAACUCCUUCAUUUGAAAAUUCACCUGCAUGUUUACUAAAGCAGAAAUAUAGCAGAAAGAGGGAAACAUAACCUCUGAAAAUAUAACAUUUUUAAAUCUAUUCAAUUAUCAAUUAUUAACAGUCAAGAAUUUUAAUAACGAUUAGAGUACUUCAUUGGCAUUUUUUAAUUGCUGGGAGAGGAGCUGGACGAGGUGAUGUCGUUGAGAUUAUUAAGAAAUAAUGAAAGAAAAAUGAUUAAAAUAAGAAGAGAAGCGUGCAAGGAAAAUGCAAGAACAAGAGAAUUUAAAACAAGAGGCCGCAGCUGUGCCUGCUGUUCAAGUGCAGCAACUAGUGCUGGUAGAGGUAGAGAAAAUCUGCUGGAAAAACUGUGCAGCAAAAUGACACCAGGAGUAUAAGAUACUUCAACACCUAUACCGUCUACAACAGCCAGUUACAUCUGUGCAAACCACAUCUACCGCAACAGCAGGCCGAGGAACACUCCUUAGGGCAUUGAUGAAAAACCAUCAUCUCUCAGCCAUUUGUUGAAAACACCAAGGCAAGAAUAGAGGGUCUGCCAAAACUAAUGAGUAUUGGUAAACAUUAAACAACAUACGUGUGUUGAAACUGAAUCAGUUUGCUAUGCUUAUAAACCAUUGGAAAAACUUUGCACGUUACUCAUUACAACAAAAGUUAGUAAUAUUUUGGCGGAUCUGGAAACAUUACGUCUCUUUGCUACAAUAAUUCCAGAGUAUUGUAAAUCCAUGGAUGAAUUGGAAAUUGCUGAAAAUUCAUUCAAUUUAAUAUUUGCUUUCGAUGAAAUAAUUGCUUUAGGAUACAGAGAAAGUGUUAAUUUAGCACAAAUCAGGACAUUCGUAUAGAAAUGGAUUCGCAUGAAGAGAGAGUUUAUCAAGCUGUUAGAUUUACGCAAGAAAGAGAAGCUAAAAACAAAAUGAAAGAAAUGCCUGAUUAGCCAGUUCUGUGCACACAAAGAAAUCAAAGGAAUUGUAAUGAUUUUGUUGAAACUCUGAAAGCUGUUUGUCAGAAAGUUAGCAUCUGAAUUGGUGAUCCUCGGUUGGGAUAAUUUUCCCUGCGUUCAGACGAGAUAAAUAUGCAGAAGUUAAAAAAGUUUGCUGUAUGUGUUGCAGUGGACAAGAGGGGAGUGCUGGACAGAAAUUCCAAUUACAUAUAUGUUCAUGCAAUGUUUUAAUGGUGUUUAAAUCCACUCUAACCCAAACUUUGGACAACUUGUGUGAUUUUUAUAACAGACUAAAGACGAUUGUACUUCUCGAACAAAUAAAACAAAGCCAUCGAAAUUAAUGAGUCACAAAAUUGUGUAAUUACAAACAUGACAAUUUCAAUAAACGUAGAUCUUACCUGCUGUGUGAUAAAGACUUAGAACUUUAGAAAAAUUAUAGGAAAAACGUUUAUGUCUGCACUUAGAAAGUUUUCGAUCAUAGCAGUUAUAAUUUAUUGAAAAAAAAAAUAAAUAAAUGAAAAAUAAACAAAAUUACGUAUAAGGUCAAAUGAAUCGU